rnacentral:sRNA from 1 species
AUGACCUCCUUGUUCGUUACGUGUUUACUACAGUUUAUCAACAAAAUGAUCCUGGGGUCUCUAGUCAUGAGUUUUAUUCCUGCUGCUCUGCUAUUCAUUUACCUCAAGGUAGUGGCCGUACCGUACACAGAAUUACUGUGGAUUAAAUCUAAUGUGCCAAAAGGUGCGGCUUUUACUGGCAGUAUGCAGCUAUUAGCCGGGGUCAAACUGUGUACAGGUCGUCCAAUCACAAAUCACCCGCAUUAUGAAGAUAAACAUCUGAGAUUUAAAACUAAAGAGCUUUACCAGAUAUAUGGAAGGAGAACUCCUGAAGAUGUCCAUGAUAUUCUAAUCAAGUACAAGUCCAGCUAUAUCAUCCUAGAGGACAGUAUUUGUUUGGCUCCUUCCAAGGGCUGUCGGACUCCAAAUAUAGUGGACAUUGAUAAUGGAAUUAUUCCUGACCAUGGUAAAGCAGAACCUUGACUCGUUAAGAGCACUGUGCCAAGAUUCUGUGAUGAAAU